UAAAUAAAAUUGGCAUCGGGAGCUGAACAGUGUAGCCCUCCCUCUAUUUGUAUGCCGCCUCUGAUAAGGCUAAUAGGCAUUCAUAGUUUGGGAUUUUGGGGUGGCCAAUCCAUUUCAAGGUGGGCCCAUGCCACCCCUCUGGACACACCCCUGGUCCCAGAGGCUUUUUUAUAUUGUGUGUAAGAGAAACUGUAACGACCAAAUGUCCACUCUGGGAUUAAUAGAGUAAUUCUGAUUCUGAUUCUUAUUCUGAUUUUUCUUGAAACCAGGAUUUUAAGCAGGUGCAGAAGAUAUAAUCUUACUUGAUGUCUGAGAUGCUAUUUCUCUCCACAUGCAGGAGCAGCAACACGUCCAUGAUGAGUGCGUCCACAAUGCCACAGAGAUACCAAUUAGAAAUGCUGACGCUGCAGUGACGCCCGGAGCAGAAAAUGUCUUUUGAUCAUCGUAACAAAAGGCCAAAUGACUUGUGUAAACAGAGCAAGAUAUAUUAGUCUGCAUGUGCAUGAAAAGAACUAUUAGAAACUGUUUAUUUGUUGCUCCAACUUCACAGGAGUCGAGCGCUAUUUCUACUGAAACAAAGAUAGAAAAUAGAAUUACCUGAAAGUGAUGGUGUAGUUAUGACAUAAGAAAUGACAAACCAUGUCACAAUAAACGAUCGUUUCGCUCAA